CUGUGCAGGAGUCAGUCCUAGUCAGCACACAGCAUGGACAUGAAGGCCCCUGCUCAUUUCCUGGGGUUCCUGCUGCUCUGGAUUACAGUUCCACUUAUCAACCAAGCUGAAAUUAUCAAGAGAAACACUGAAUACAAACAACACUGUUGCCAUUCUGUGCUCUCCCCUGCAAGGUUCACUGAAGAAUCAAGGAAUCUUUGACAGUCAGAGGAACAACACUGACGUCUUUUAUUUAUAAAAAGAAAAAUGGAGAAACCUCAAGAUAAAGCAGAUCUUCCUUAAGUCAGAAGCCCUCUGAUUCUCAGAUUGACAAGUGAACAUAUGCAUACAAUUUAUGUAUCAUAUUUAUGUAUAUAUACCUAAUGUAUGAGAUACAGUAUAUAAUAAUUAAAUAUAUAUUAUAUAAAAUA